rnacentral:rRNA from 1 species
AUUGACCGCUGGCGGCAGGCCUAACACAUGCAAGUCGAGCGAGCGGCGGACGGGUGAGUAAUGUCUGGGAAACUGCCCGAUGGAGGGGGAUAACUACUGGAAACGGUAGCUAAUACCGCAUACCAUCAGAUGUGCCCAGAUGGGAUUAGCUAGUAGGUGGGGUAACGGCUUACCUAGGCGACGAUCCCUAGCUGGUCUGAGAGGAUGACCAGCCACACUGGAACUGAGACACGGUCCAGACUCCUACGGGAGGCAGCAGUGGGGAAUAUUGCACAAUGGGCGAAAGCCUGAUGCAGCCAUGCCGCGUGGGUGAAGAAGGCCUUCGGGUUGUAAAGCACUUUCAGCAGGGAGGCGUUACCCACAGAAGAAGCACCGGCUAACUCCGUGCCAGCAGCCGCGGUAAUUC